UACGUAGGGGGCUAGCGUUGUCCGGAAUCAUUGGGCGUAAAGAGCGCGUAGGCGGCCAGAUAAGUCCGGUGUGAAAGUCAAAGGCUCAACCUUUGAAUGCCGCUGGAAACUGUCUGGCUAGAGUCCGGGAGGGGCGAGUGGAAUUCCUGGUGUAGCGGUGAAAUGCGCAGAUAUCAGGAGGAACACCGGUGGCGAAGGCGGAUCUCUGGGCCUUACCUGACGCGUGAGGCGCGGAAAGCCAGGGGAGCAAACGGG
rnacentral:rRNA from 1 species